CGUGGUUAUUGUGCUUCAGUGGGGCUCUACUCUUCAGCCCAAGAGGAGGCGCUCAACCAGGCCAGGCUAAAUAGACCCCCUCCUCUAUGGCUAUGGUGAUCGAUGUCAGAAAAGAAGGCUGAAUAAGAACUGCAUGGGAUUAGGAGAGGGCUCAAGGUCUCAGCUCCAGGGAUGAAGGCCCCUCUGUCAUCAUCUCAGCGGGAGCCACUAGCGUCUCAGGGAUGAUGAAAUCUUCAGUGAAACCUUAAAGGUCAGAGGUCUGAUGGUACAAGCCACAGAAAGACUACUGAAAACACUGGGAACUACUGAUGAAGAAACUGAACAAAGAACUGGCAUUGGUUAUUGGCGGGUACAACUGUGUAUUGUCUUGCUCUGGAGAACCCCCAAUUUUUCAACUUUCUGUUUGCAUUUGAGAAGCA